GACAAACGCUGGCGGCGUGCAUAAAACAUGCAAGUCUUACGGGCAUCCUUCGGGAUGUCAGUGGCGAACGGCUGAGUAACACGUAAGUGACCUGCCCUAAAGUGGGGAAUAACUGCUCGAAAGAGUGGCUAAUACCGCAUACGAUCCCUGGUUCGGUCUGGGGAUGAAAGCCGCAAGGCGCUUUUGGAGGGGCUUGCGUCCGAUUAGCUAGUUGGAGGGGUAACGGCCCACCAAGGCUCUGAUCGGUAGCUGGUCUGAGAGGAUGAUCAGCCAGACUGGGACUGCGACACGGCCCAGACUCCUACGGGAGGCAGCAGUUAGGAAUUUUGCGCAAUGGCCGAAAGGCUGACGCAGCAACGCCGCGUGAGGGACGAAGGUCUUCGGAUCGUAAACCUCUUUUGCACGGGAAGAUAAUGACGGUACCGUGCGAAUAAGCCCCGGCUAACUACGUGCCAGCAGCCGCGGUAAUACGUAGGGGGCGAGCGUUGUCCGGAUUUAUUGGGCGUAAAGAGCGCGUAGGCGGCUUGCCAAGUCUUGCGUUAAAUACCUCGGCUCAACCGAGGGGGGUCGUGGGAUACUGGUAGGCUAGAGGCCGGUAGGGGGAAGUGGAAUUCCCGGUGUAGUGGUGGAAUGCGUAGAUAUCGGGAGGAACACCAGUGGCGAAGGCGGCUUCCUGGACCGGUCCUGACGCUGAGGCGCGAAAGCGUGGGGAGCGAACUGAAUUAGAUACUCAGGUAGUCCACGCUGUAAACGAUGGGUGCUAGGUGUCGGGGGUAUCGACCCCUCCGGUGCCGAAGUUAACGCAUUAAGCACCCCGCCUGGGGAGUACGGCCGCAAGGCUA
rnacentral:rRNA from 1 species